AGCAGCCGCGGUAAUUCCAGCUCCAAUAGCGUAUAUUAAAGUUGCUGCAGUUAAAAAGCUCGUAGUUGAAUUUCGGGAUCAAUAUGUUGGUCGUGCCUCGGUACGUACUAGCUUAUUGGUUUCUUCCUUCUGACGAACCAUAAUGUCAUCUAUUUGGUGUCGUGGGAAAUCAGGACUGUUACUUUGAAAAAAUUAGAGUGUUUAAAGCAGGCUCACGCUUGAAUACAUUAGCAUGGAAUAAUGAAAUAGGACGUUUGAUUCUAUUUUGUUGGUUUCUAGGAUCGACGUAAUGAUUAAUAGGGAUAGUUGGGGGCAUUAGUAUUCAAUUGUCAGAGGUGAAAUUCUUGGAUUUAUUGAAGACUAACUACUGCGAAAGCAUUUGCCAAGGAUGUUUUCAUUAAUCAAGAACGCAAGUUAGGGGAUCGAAGACGAUCAGAUACCGUCGUAGUCUUAACCAUAAACUAUGCCGACUAGGGAUCGGAUGAUGUUAAUUUUUUAAUGACUCAUUCGGCGCCUUACG
rnacentral:rRNA from 1 species